GUGUGAAGAUAAUGUUUCUGGAACUGAAUGCACAGAAGAUAGUACAGUGAGUAUCUGUCUUGUAAGCUUGCUGGUGUGGCUCUGGGUUCCUCUGGAAGGAAGGGCCUGUUCUUUUCUCAGGCACUCUUUAUCUGUGUAAUUAUCUCUUGCAGUGCUUUCUUUGGAGCCCAGCUGCAUCCUUUUAUGGGGAAAAGAGCCCCACCCAUACACACACACACACGCUGUAGUCCCUCAACAUGCUGCUUCCUUCCGAUUCACCUUUUCUUUUCUCUUUGUCUCCCCUAUCUCGCUGGGUGGCUGGACAGACUUCUAGACAGAGCCCUGCAUGGCAGCCACCCACCCUUCCCUUUUCUGAGAAUGCUCUGAGAAGCCCCCCAAGGGAGGCUUCCAAAUAAAAGGGAUGUUGCAGAAGCCUGGUGCUUGGCGGCCCUGCAGCAGCCUCUGGCUUUCCUCAGUCUCUCCAGAGGCAGCAGGGGCGGAGUCUCCUUUUGCAAGGGGCCUGGGAAUGCUGGGAGGGAAGCGCCACUGGCGGGAGACUUUGCUUCCAUGCCUUGUUGUUCAUUUCCCGUUUCCUUCCUAGACAACGUUGCAGAAACAGCUUCAGGAUGACUUUGCCCAAAUGGAAAGUGUUCAGUUGAAGGUGAAGGCUCUGAGCGAGGACUGGCUGGAGACCCACCAACGCCUGAAAGCAGAGGAGGCAAAAGUGACGGAGCUGGAGGCACAGAUCGAGGGCCUGAACCUCAGACACGAAGAGACCAAGGCGGCCCUGCAAGCAGACAUUUUGCGGGCCCUGGCUCAAGUCAAGGAGAAGGAAGACCUUGCGGAGAAGCUCCGGGCCAAGGUGGCCGUGCUGGAGCGGAAGGUGGAAGCGGCCUGCCAGGAGGCAGCUAAAAGCGCUGCCCGGCUGGAAAAAGGCGCCUAUGAGGCGAGGCUGGCUCUCGAGGCCACCCUGGCCGAGCUGACUAGGCAGAAACACAUGGCGCUAGAGGCCACCGUGGAGAAGCAUUGGGGCGAGGUGGCUCUUCAUAGCCAGGAUGUGGUGGAUCUGGAGGAGAAUGAAGGGGGAGGAGCAGAAGCCCCCGGGAAGGAUGACAGUCGGGUGCUCCUGCGGAAGGACGCCGUUGAUGCUGGCCUGGGCGACGCUCCUCCUCCACCUCCACAAGAGGCAAAUCGAGGGAUUUUCAGACCAGCCGCUUCAUCUGAAUUCAAUGACUGUCUUUUCUUCCAACUCCUCUUCAGUUUUUCUGCAUUUGUGCACCAUAAUCUGGCAGUGGGAGAAUCUGCAGCAGAAGAGUUAAAAUACAAACCUCCAGUGAUCCCAGAAGGGCCCUUAUUGGGUUUGAGAAGGCAGGGCCAGCCAGGUUUGGAAACAAGGCACUCUGGAUAG
rnacentral:lncRNA from 1 species